UCUUCAUAGUCAAGUCACACCCUGUGCUGGAGUCAGCCUCACACAGGUCCCAGCACAGACAUGAGGGCCACCACUCAGCUCCUGGGAUUGCUGCUGCUCUGGCUUACAGGUGUCAGAUGUGACAUCCAGAUGACCCAGGCUCCAGCCUUUCUAUCUGCAUCUCUGGGGGACAGUGUCACCAUCACAUGCUUGGCAAGUCAGGACAUUGGUUGGGGUUUAGCAUGGCAUCAGCAGAAACCAGGGAAACCUCCUAAGCUCCUGAUCUAUGCUGGAGAUACUUUGGCAGAUGGGGUCCCAUCGAGAUUCAGUGGCAGUAGAUCUGGCACACAGUUUUCUCUCAAGAUCAGCAGCCUGCAGCCUGAAGAUGUGGCAACUUAUUACUGUCAACAGUAUAGGAGUACCCCACCCACAGUGAUUCAAGUCAUGACAAAAACCACACAAGGAAGUAGAAGUGAGAGCUCAGGCUGCCCAAAUUGCUGUUUCUGUUGUCUUAAGCUAUUGAGAGUGUUUCUCUUUUCUCUUAACCAGUAUUUAAAGUUCAAUGUGAUAUUUUUGUAUAGGGAGCAGAUAAAUUUCUUAUUGUCCUAAAUAUCUGUCCUCUUC